GACGAACGCUGGCGGCGUGCUUAACACAUGCAAGUCGAACGGAAAGGCCCUGCUUUUGUGGGGUGCUCGAGUGGCGAACGGGUGAGUAACACGUGAGUAACCUGCCCUUGACUUUGGGAUAACUUCAGGAAACUGGGGCUAAUACCGGAUAGGAGCUCCUGCUGCAUGGUGGGGGUUGGAAAGUUUCGGCGGUUGGGGGUGGACUCGCGGCUUAUCAGCUUGUUGGUGGGGUAGUGGCUUACCAAGGCUUUGACGGGUAGCCGGCCUGAGAGGGUGACCGGCCACAUUGAGACUGAGAUACGGCCCAGACUCCUACGGGAGGCAGCAGUGGGGAAUAUUGCACAAUGGGCGGAAGCCUGAUGCAGCAACGCCGCGUGCGGGAUGACGGCCUUCGGGUUGUAAACCGCUUUCGCCUGUAACGAAGCGUGAGUGACGGUAAUGGGUAAAGAAGCACCGGCUAACUACGUG
rnacentral:rRNA from 1 species